UACUAGGUAGAUUUCAGCACUUGAAAAAUAAAUUGCAACUAUUAAAGUUUUUAGUAAAUAUUUGUAUUACGCAGGGGAAAGUUCAUAAACCUUUUUACCUAAGGCAUAUCAGCCUUAACCGAGUUAUAUCUACUUAAUUACCAAAAAAAGGUACUGAAAAAUACUGAACAAAAAUUAACUAAAAUUAUAGAUAAGAAAUUGACAUAUUAAAUUAUGAUGUUGAUUAAAUAUUUGUAGCAAUAAAUUGAUUUUAAAGAUAUAUUAAUAAAAAUUUAAAUAUGUGAGACAAAUCUAUGGUUAAUAAUAUUUAAAUAAAUGGAAUAAACUGGCCUGUAUAUUCCUCCAAGAAAUAAACGGUUAGCCUUCAAAAUCAAGGCUGUAAAUGUGUGCCAUUGGUAGCUUAGCUAUCCGGACUGGGAAUUUCUAAUACUAGCUCUAGUUCUGGUCCCAGCUCCACUGCUUUCAGCAAUUUCCUGGGGAAAUCAAAAGCCUGCAGCCAUCAACAAUUGAAGAAGAAUAAAGAGGAAAAUGGAAAAGUAAAACCCUAAAACAACGGUUGCCAUUGUAUUCACUGUCGAUAAAAAUGAAUGGCGUUCAAAAUGUGACACACUCACCUUGCUAAGUUUCAUUAUCUAUCCAUCAAAAUCUCGGGCAUCCUACACCAGAAUUAUGAAAUAAAUGGUUCCCUAAAGGAACAAGAUUAAGGACUAUAAAUUAUAAACCAUAUUGGCCACUUCCUGCUUCACAAACUUCGGAAAUAAAAAACUGGCCUCUUACGUGUGCUUCUACCUGCGACACGGGAACAAGUCCUCGAAAAAUGGAUGCAGUACCGACUAAAUAAGUUACGACCCCACCUCUCGCCUGAGCUGUCAAUGUCAAUCCAAUCAGAGAAAACAUCAAUCAAGACCAACCAGAAGAGUGACGGACCGUCAACAGAAAGCAUGAAUAAUAAAACCAGGAGAGUGACGCGCUACAGUAGCAAUGUGUCAUUGACAGUGCGAACCCAAAGAAACAUUGAUAAAAGAAGCUGACUGAACUUAUUAAUAUAAUUAUUGAAAUCAACGAAACAUCAAUGGAGCGUUAGUGAAAAUAAGGAAUAGAAAAAUAAAACGCUACAACACACUAUCUAUUAUAUGCAAUAUGAGAAUACAAAUACAAAAAGAUUCAUUUCCCAAAAUACGCACGAUUUUUUUUACAUAAUAUCUUAUCAUUAACUCUGCAGCAUAAUUGACGAAGUCAACUGUGUGUGCACCUUGACUAAAAGAAUAGGGACAGAGAUAGCAAAAAAAAUUAAAAUAAUUAGUUGUUGGUGUUGUUAUAGUAAUAAAUAUUAAAAUAACAGGGAUUUGCAGCACAAUGAUUUUCCCAAGAAUAAACGCGCAAAUUGAUGUAGAAAUAAUAAACAACCUACAAGAUUGUAUAUUGCAAACAAAUAUCCCAUUAAGAUUGCAUUCAACUCGGGGACACAAUCAGGGGCGCAGUAUUAAAGAAUAAACUUGUUAGCCUGUGGGGAGACUCCUAUCCAACAUUCUCUGCGAGGACCAAUAUAGAAGAGAAAUCCAUUGUUCAGACAACGACCUGAUGAUAUCUCCAACUUAUGGCGACCAUUACUAGAUGACUGCUGUAAAAUAUAACAGAUCGCAUUCACUCCUGACUUGAAUUUAAACAUCAUCGCUCACUUCGAGUAUUUAAGCCUGUAGUUUACUCUUGACAAUGAAUGGAUGAUACUUCCACUGAAACGUCGUAUUAGCCAAAAAUAUAAAAAUACAUUUUAAAAGAGACGAGACGUGAUAUCUUCGGGCUGCAACUAACAGUUUGUUCAUUUUACGGAACACAAAAUUGGACAAAAAUGUUAUGUAAUAUAAAAAAUAAACACUUUUAAGUACUAACCUCGUAGAGAUUUUCCAAGCAUUUGAUACAUCUUGAGGUAUAGCUACAAAAUUCGCCCAUCCUUUUUAGUACUAUAAAAUGGUUUAGGUUUUAUCUGACAGCAAGAUUACGGAAAGUUAGAGUGGAAGAUAAUAGUUAUUAGGUUUCUCCCCAAGGAUCUACUUUGGAUUGAAAAUUUAUUUAACGAAUUAUCCGGCCAUUGUAAAAAAGCCACUUUGUAAAAGUGAAUGUGAAAAAAAUAUCAAUAAUAUCAAUUAUAUAAAUUCAAACUGUUUUCUAGUAAUAAAUUGUCAAUAAAGCCAAAUUUAAUUAUAUUAUUCACUUUUUGGAAGCCAGAGUAUCAUCUCUUGGCUCUUUGGACUGGAUUUUAAUUUUUUUAAUAUAGUUUUUUAUUAUUCUUUAGUGUUAAUUUAAGUUUAAAUUCAUUUUUAGAAUGCCUGUCAAUGUUAUAUAACCUGCAAUAGGUUGAACGCGCUCUGCACUUGAUUUUAAAAAUUUAUAUCCUUUCUAUGUUGAGUAUUACAGCUACCCCCAGUUGUCAUGUUUACAGAUUUGGCUGUCCAUAAUCAUGCAAUUAAAGCAACUAAUUAUAUUGUACUAUUGUCUGCAAAGUUGUAAGGAAUUCAGCCAUACUUCAGUUCGAUUUUUUAGUAACAUAAGCAGCAACAACACUCUUACACAGAAUUUUUUAAAAUUUGGUAUAUAAUAAAUUUCGUCACAUACCAUGAAAUUAGAAUAACAACAAAACAAAAAACAGGUAAAUCAUAGUUAUAAGUAUUAUAACGAUGCACCUAGCUCGCAAAAUAUUGGUGAAAGAGAUAGCGACUUAUUACUUAUUUUCACCGGUAAAUGGUCCCGAUAAGUACCCACUUUUACAAAUUAAAUUACUUCUUGACUUCACAAUGUUCAUUUUCAAGUUUACUGAUUAGACACAUGCGAUAUCAACAUUUGUAGCACUAUCAGCAACCAGAAUCCAUCCAUUUCAUUAGUUUCAAGCGAGCCUCUAUGUAUAAUAAAAUGCAAAUCUGCUUACCGCUAACUAUAUAAUAUGCGGUUUCUGAAAUAUUAGAUUAUUUCCAGUCUUAGUUGACCAUCAAAAAGCAUUUAUUGCAGCUGCGUUUUUAUGAAAAAAAAAUUACAUAUUAAUUUUUUUUUCGCGAAAACGAUUGUAGAUUGUAGUCUAGGAAGCCAUAUUGCAAAAAAUAUUGAAAAAUUAAUAGAGAAUCAAAAAGAAUUAUAAUAUUGUUAUGAAAAUGUAAAUACAUUAAUUAUUCUCAUAACUUUUGUACUGUUUUUCUCUAAUUUGUAGCAUAUUAUUUUCACGUAUAGUUUCUAGUUGUUUCAAUUUAGGUUAUUUUAUUAUAAAUCCUAGUAGUUUAAAUAUUGUAGAAUUUGUAUACUUGGUUGCUUUAACUGUCAGUAUUCUCUUGAAAUUAAGGAUAUAUUUAACCAAACGUAAGAUAUUAUACCUCCUAUAAUAUUCUAAAGGGGGUAUUACAUAAGCACAGCAGCUAUUGGUCAGAACCUGGGAAAGCUUCUGAACUUUCUGCGCAGAAGCCAAGUAUUCAUGUACCAUGGAUUAUUAUAAUAAGAUAAACCGCAAAUAACAGGACUAUUUACAUAACUGACUCAAACUAAUAAAUUGUGAAAGUAACAACAAAUAUAACUAUAAUAGAAUUAGAACGGACUUGCCAGUAUUAUUCCUCGUUGGGUCGUAUACAUCUCGAGGCAAUGUAUGUAUGUAAAUCAAUGGUGAGGUCUUGAAGUGCUAUCGGCUGACGGUUGAGGUGUUGGUAGCAGCCUUCUGCCCCAGGUUAAUUAUAGCUUAGCCUUAGCAAACGACUAAGAAGAACAGGAAGGAACCAGCAGAAACUAAGGAAAUUACGCAGAACUUAGUAGACAUUUAGAAGACUUGUAGAGAUUAUGAACCGAUCAUGAAGAAAACCCAAAAUAAGAAACAAAGGUGUAAGAAUUAACAAAGGAACCAACGGCAAAUGAAUAACUAACCCCUAAAGUUUAGUUAAAAAUUAGUUUUCUAACUAAAGUGUAAUUUUGCGGCAAAAUAUCAGCAUGUAUAAUGCAUAACAUAAUAGGCCAGCAAUAAAUGAAUGAAUAAUGAAAAACGACUAUCAGGUCCUCCAGUUAAAUAGCACAAGAUAGGUCUUUGGAAAAAUUUACGGCGAGGAAGACUUUGGUUGACCAAUGUUGUCAAUACAAAUAUUGAAUUCGAAUUGGAAAAAUCGCAAAAAUGAUCGAAUCAAAUCGUAAUCCGGGAAACACAAGUAUAGACAUGCCUUGAUGAAAAACGCAGAACCCAACAUUAAUUCCAUAAUAUCAGUACCGAAUUAUAUUUUAAUAAUUAGUAGCAAUACCCCGGUAUCCAAGCAUAGAUCAAGAUUGACCUUCGUAAAACAAAAUUUGCGAGUGUCUAACGUCCAUUAAGUGGCUAUUACGAAAAAUGAACCUGUUAAUCGUGUUUAUUUUUAUAACUUAGACUAAUAUAUCUAAGCACAAUUGUAAUAUGAUUAUUGUAAAUAAAAGAUAGUUCAAUAGA